UGGGGAAUUUUGGACAAUGGGCGAAAGCCUGAUCCAGCAAUGCCGCGUGUGUGAAGAAGGCCUUCGGGUUGUAAAGCACUUUUGUCCGGAAAGAAAUCCUCUGGGUUAAUACCUCGGGGGGAUGACGGUACCGGAAGAAUAAGCACCGGCUAACUACGUGCCAGCAGCCGCGGUAAUACGUAGGGUGCAAGCGUUAAUCGGAAUUACUGGGCGUAAAGCGUGCGCAGGCGGUUUUGUAAGACGGAUGUGAAAUCCCCGGGCUUAACCUGGGAACUGCAUUCGUGACUGCAAGGCUAGAGUAUGGCAGAGGGGGGUAGAAUUCCACGUGUAGCAGUGAAAUGCGUAGAGAUGUGGAGGAAUACCGAUGGCGAAGGCAGCCCCCUGGGCCAAUACUGACGCUCAUGCACGAAAGCGUGGGGAGCAAACAGGAUUAGAUACCCUGGUAGUCCACGCCCUAAAACGAUGUCAACUAGUUGUUGGGGAUUCAUUUCCUUAGUAACGUAGCUAACGCGUGAAGUUGACCGCCUGGGGAGUACGGUCGCAAGAUUAAAACUCAAGGGAAUUGACGGGGUCAUAGCUGUUUCCU
rnacentral:rRNA from 1 species